rnacentral:sRNA from 1 species
UUCCCCUAUAAGAACCCCCUUCGUACGACCUUUUCUUCUGAUUUCUUUUCUCUUUCUUUCCUUAAUCAAUUCGUAAUCUGUAAUUAGGAUAGUACCAAAUCGUUAAUCGAAGUACGCCCGUUACACAUUUGCUGAGAAUUCAACAAAUAUGCAACCAAAUUAGAAGAGUUAAGCUAUGAUGCCACUCUACAUAAACUUGCAAUGACAGAAUCGAAUCUGUCAGAGAGAUGGAAAAAGCUUAAAGAGAAGUCAAAUUUCAAAAACCCCACUCAAAACUUUAACAACAGAAAUAAUGCUGAUAAUAGAUCACAAAACA